rnacentral:rRNA from 1 species
CACGUAGGGUGCGAGCGUUGUCCGGAAUUACUGGGCGUAAAGCGUGCGCAGGCGGCUUUGCAAGACAGGUGUGAAAUCCCCGGGCUUAACCUGGGAACUGCAUUUGUGACUGCAUGGCUGGAGUGCGGCAGAGGGGGAUGGAAUUCCGCGUGUAGCAGUGAAAUGCGUAGAUAUGCGGAGGAACACCGAUGGCGAAGGCAAUCCCCUGGGCCUGCACUGACGCUCAUGCACGAAAGCGUGGGGAGCAAACAGG